CCUGGAAGAAAGGACAGAGCUUCUGUGAAGAGAGAAAAAAACUAGGUGUCCAAAGGCCAAGAUUCAGGAAAAGAACAUUCCAGAGGUCCUGAUAGAGCCUUUGCAAGGCCGCCCAUGAGACGGGGAGUCUUAGGUCGUGGCCGCAAAGGAGCCCGGCGCUCAGUUGCUUCUGAUGCCUGGAGUCCGGGCUGCCUCGGUUUCUCCCAAGAAACACAGUGUCCGUGGGUUCCUCUGCGUCCCUUGUCCACGGUGGUAUCCACAAGUGAUGGGUGAACUGAAUGAAUGAGCGAACGAGGUUCAAUUCUGCCAAGGAACGUGUAGAUCGAAAAGGUCAGUCUGCAACUUACACAACAAAUCCUUGCAUAUGGCAUUACGGUUCUCAAUGACUGUGCCACGAAAAAAAGAAAUCAGUGCUUUGAUGAGUUCAAUCCUUUUGUUUGGACACUCA